rnacentral:rRNA from 1 species
CACCGCGGUUAUACGAGUCAGGCCCAAGUUGACAAACACGGCGUAAAGAGUGUUUAAGGUAACCAAAGAAGUAAAGCCGAACGCCCCUCAAAGCUGUCAUACGCAUCCGAGGGUGACGAAGCCCAAUCACGAAAGUGGCUUUAUAUUCCUGACCCCACGAAAGCCAUGAAA